CUUCAACGACCCCAGCCACAACGGCCGAUCCUCGUCCCGGCCCCGGCCGUAGGUGGCCAACAACGCCUGGGCCUC
rfam:Streptomyces scabrisporus strain NF3 contig1, whole genome shotgun sequence.